rnacentral:rRNA from 1 species
CCUACGGGGGGCAGCAGUGGGGGAUAUUGCACAAUGGGGGCAACCCUGAUGCAGCGACGCCGCGUGAGCGAUGGAGUACUUCGGUAUGUAAAGCUCUGUCAGCAGGGAAGAGAAUGACGGUACCUGACCAAGAAGCCGCGGCUAAAUACGUGCCAGCAGCCGCGGUAAUACGUAUGGGGCAAGCGUUAUCCGGAUUUACUGGGGGUAAAGGGAGCGUAGGCGGCAGGGCAAGCCUGAUGUGAAAGCCCGGGGCUCAACCCCGGGACUGCAUUGGGAACUGCGCCGCUCGAGUGGCGGAGGGGCAGGCGGGAUUGCGAGGGUAGCGGUGAAAUGCGUAGAUAUUAGG